rnacentral:lncRNA from 1 species
AUUUACAAAACUUGGACCCUAAACUGAUUAAUCUUUCAGGACCUGUCUAGGUUUGAAGUUCUGUGUGAAGAGAAACACGCACCUGGGAGUCAAUGCUCCAAGGUUUCAAUUUCUCAUUCCCUACCGAGAGAUGGAGAGAAUACAUUGAUACUGCAUUUCAAAUUGGCUAGAUCAGAAGGAACAGCAGCUAAAAUCCAUUACAACCCAAUUACAUCCAUCAGCUGAAGCUGUGUGCAUUCACUCGUGAACAUCAGCAUUUAAUCCAUAAAGAGGAACUAAUGAGAAAUUUGAAAAUGGAAUCCACGCAUCAGUAAGUUUG